CUUGCUCUUCUUGGAUGAGUUGCGAACGGGUGAGUAACGCGUACGUAACCUGCCUUGUAGCGGGGGAUAACUAUUGGAAACGAUAGCUAAUACCGCAUAACAAUGGAUGACACAUGUCAUUUAUUUGAAAGGGGCAAUUGCUCCACUACAAGAUGGACCUGCGUUGUAUUAGCUAGUAGGUGAGGUAACGGCUCACCUAGGCGACGAUACAUAACCGACCUGAGAGGGUGAUCGGCCACACUGGGACUGAGACACGGCCCAGACUCCUACGGGAGGCAGCAGUAGGGAAUCUUCGGCAAUGGGGGCAACCCUGACCGAGCAACGCCGCGUGAGUGAAGAAGGUUUUCGGAUCGUAAAGCUCUGUUGUAAGUCAAGAACGAGUGUGAGAGUGGAAAGUUCACACUGUGACGGUAGCUUACCAGAAAGGGACGGCUAACUACGUGCCAGCAGCCGCGGUAAUACGUAGGUCCCGAGCGUUGUCCGGAUUUAUUGGGCGUAAAGCGAGCGCAGGCGGUUUGAUAAGUCUGAAGUUAAAGGCUGUGGCUCAACCAUAGUUCGCUUUGGAAACUGUCAAACUUGAGUGCAGAAGGGGAGAGUGGAAUUCCAUGUGUAGCGGUGAAAUGCGUAGAUAUAUGGAGGAACACCGGUGGCGAAAGCGGCUCUCUGGUCUGUAACUGACGCUGAGGCUCGAAAGCGUGGGGAGCGAACAGGAUUAGAUACCCUGGUAGUCCACGCCGUAAACGAUGAGUGCUAGGUGUUGGAUCCU
rnacentral:rRNA from 1 species